AGAUUAGAGUUUGAUUCAUGGCUCAGGGUGAACGCUGGCGGCGCGCCUAAUGCAUGCAAGUCGAGCGUGCCGUGCGGGCUUCGGCCACAAUGGGAAAGCGGCAGACGGCUGAGUAACGCGUGAGUAACCUGCCCUCUGGUGGGGUAUACCCUCGAGAAAUUGAGGUUAAUCCCGCAUAAGACCCCCUAACCUUGGUUUGGGGUGUGCAAAGGCCCGAUUCUCGGGUCGCCGGAGGAGGGGCUCGCGUCCUAUCAGGUAGUUGGUGGGGUAAUGGCCUACCAAGCCGAUGACGGGUAGCUGGUCUGAGAGGAUGACCAGCCAGAGGGGGACUGAGACACGGCCCCCACUCCUACGGGAGGCAGCAGCAGGGAAUCUUGGGCAAUGGGCGAAAGCCUGACCAAGCGACGUCGCGUGGGGGAAGAAGGCCUUAGGGCUGUAAACCCCUUUUCCAGGGGAAGAGAAAGGACGGUACCUUGGGAAUAAGCCCCGGCUAACUACGUGCCAGCAGCCGCGGUAAUACGUAGGGGGCGAGGAACGUACCCGGAAUCACUGGGCGUAAAGAGCGCGUAGGCGGCUGAGUAAGUCUCUUGUGAAAGCUCCCGGCUCAACUGGGAGAGGUCAAGGGAUACUACUCGGCUGGAGGGCAGUAGAGGAAAGGCGGAAUUCCGUAGCGGUGAAAUGCGUAGAUAUCGGGAGGAACACCAGCGGCGAAAGCGGCCUUCUGGGCUGUGCCUGACGCUGAGGCGCGAGAGCGUGGGGAGCAAACUGGAUUAGAUACCCAGGUAGUCCACGCCCUAAACGAUGGAUGCUAGGUAAUGGGGGGGUAUCGACCCCCUCCCGUGCCGCAGCUAACGCGA
rnacentral:rRNA from 1 species